GUAUUACGUAGAUGUGCUUAUUAUGUGUCAAUUUGCGCAUGCGGGACACUUUUGGGUCGUUUUCCGUUCAUAUUGGAGAUCGCAUACAAGUCUCAUAUAAUUGGUAAUGUGAACGGCCUAACAAAAAAAUCGGAUUUCACAACAAAUCGGAUAUGGGUCGUUUCAGGUUGCAGUCUGAAUGUAGUGUUUGUCACUGCACAAAUGUACAACGAAAUUUAGUUCGUCACAGGCCGCUGCAUACAUGCGUGCCGCCACUCUUGGGCACUUCAGCCCAAGGCCAUCCCAUAUUAACCUAACCGCGUGUCUUUGGACUGUGUGGGAAACCCAUGCAGACGCGGGGAGAACAUGCAGACUCCACACAGAAAGGCACCUGUCAGCCGCUGGGCUCGAACCCAGAACCUUCUUGCUGUGAGGUGACAGUGCUAACCACUACACCGCCGCGCAACGCCCUAAUGCUUCUUCCUUUUAUUGGGUGCCAUUACUUUUGGAACGGUUAGCUUUAAUCGUCGGUGUAAUCUGCAUAUAAAAUUGCAGGAACUCCUCCUCAACGAUUUCAUAGGAUAGGAUUUUUUUUUUUCAACCUAACCUCAUGCUAAUGGUUUUAUGAAUACAUUUUCGUCGGCAGUUUGAGAAACGAGGCCCCGUCGACGACUUAUUCAAAACGGUUAACAUUUUAAACGAACCAUUCCGAUGACGUUCAGCUUCGGCGCAUUUUAUAUCAUAAACCUGGAGUAAAAAUUGAAGCAACGAUCAUGAUCUGAUAAUUGGUAUAAAUAUUGGCACACAGCUAAGAGCAGAAGAGUUUAAAUAGUGACAGUAUCUCAUCUCACAUCAGCUCCGUGUGUGUGUUGACACAUUUGUGCCAUAUGUGAGCGAUUACUGAAUUAUUUUUAACACUUCUUUCUCGUCAUAUGAAACUAAAAGUGAAACAUUUUCCAUCCAUGAAUUAAAGACUUGAAGUUUAAAAAAAAAUGCUGAAGGAUAUACGAAUGAUGAAGUAGAGGUGUGUACGGGACUCUGGGUCUCUGCUGUUAUCAUUUUUUAGAACUUUUUUUGUUAAAAGGUUAAAUUUGCCUUUUACACUGCUGUGACCUUGAGCAGGAUGAACAGGUUACUGAAAAUGGAUGAAUGAAUACGAAAAAUGCAUCGUUUGAAUAUUCAGAUUUGUUCAUUUUUAUUAUUAACGUGAUUUUUUUUUUUUUUACAUCGUAAGGAAUUUUUUCUUAUCGUGUCAACACGUCACUGUACUAAUGUUUCCUACAUUUCCCACAAUGCUGUGCUGAUUGGUAGUGGUGAAGUGGGAUUUUGCUUUUGCUUUUAUCUCUAGCUAAAUGGAGCGAUGCAGCGGCGCUUUAUUUUGUCCAGAUCUCACCUUCAGUUCCGCUCAAACAAAUCAGCUUUCAGACUGAGAGUGCAGUGUUUUGCACCAAUGUGUUUGAUGGAUUUCUCAUUAAAAUUAUACUUUUUUUUCUUUUUUAGGAGCUGACGACAAAACCUGAUCGCUUUUUUGUUUGUUUGUUCUUUUCCUCCCAUUGACCGCCAGCGUAACAGCGCUAACAUCAACAUGGUCCUGUGACAUCAGUGAGCCGCCGACAUGUUCGCACCAGAAUCGCUGAAACACAUUGAAUAUUUAUACAUUUUUCUUUUACUGAAUGUUCUUUUGAGCUUUGGAUUUUUUUUUGUUAUUGAGUCCUGUGGAAUCUCGGUGGAAUCUCGGUGCACACCUCUACCACAAAACUGUGAUCGUCUCUUUUAAGUCACAACUUCUCACACUCAUCAUCCUGCAUGCUACCAUUACAGCUGCGGAGAGAAAUAACACUCCGUGCUGGAGCCGGUCAGAUCUUUCAGGAAAGAUUUUCCUCCUCGUGUGCUGCAGUGAAGAGAAACAGACAGUUGGAUCUCGUCGAGGUUUUAGGAUUGGACUCGACUCGACUCGACACGUUUUUGCAUCCAUUUCCUGUCCCGCAUCAUCAUGUGAACGAGCCGUUUGCUGAACAUUGCCGCUGCUGGUUAAGGGUUAAAAAAAAGUUCUAUUUUAAAAUAAAAGUAUAAAUGCAUGACUUUGCACAUUAAAGUAUUUUGUCUCA